rnacentral:rRNA from 1 species
UACGUAGGGUGCGAGCGUUAAUCGGAAUUACUGGGCGUAAAGCGUGCGCAGGCGGUUUUGUAAGUCAGAUGUGAAAUCCCCGGGCUUAACCUGGGAAUGGCCAUGGAAACUGGCGAACUGGAGUGUGGCAGAGGGGGGUGGAAUUCCACGUGUAGCAGUGAAAUGCGUAGAUAUGUGGAGGAACACCGAUGGCGAAGGCAGCCCCCUGGGCCAGCACUGACGCUCAUGCACGAAAGCGUGGGGAGCAAACAGG